rnacentral:rRNA from 1 species
AGAGUUUGAUCAUGGCUCAGAAUCAACGCUGGCGGCGCGCUUAACACAUGCAAGUCGCACGAGAAAGUGGAGCAAUCCAUGAGUACAGUGGCGUACGGGUGAGUAACACGUGGAUUAUCUACCUUUUAGUGGGGAAUACCUCCGGGAAACUGGAGACAAUACCGCAUAAGCUCGAAAGAGGAAAGCAGCAAUGCGCUGAAAGAGGAGUCCGCGGUCGAUUAGCUUGAUGGCGGGGUAAUGGCCCACCAUGGCGAAGAUCGAUAGCCGGCCUGAGAGGGCUCACGGCCACACUGGCACUGAAACACGGGCCAGACUCCUACGGGAGGCAGCAGUGGGGAAUCUUGCACAAUGGAGGAAACUCUGAUGCAGCGACGCCGCGUGAGUGAUGAAGCCCUUCGGGGUGUAAAGCUCUUUCGACGGGAACGAUAAUGACGGUACCCGAAGAAGAAGCUGCGGCUAACUACGUGCCAGCAGCCGCGGUAAUACGUAGGCAGCAAGCGUUGUUCGGAAUUACUGGGCGUAAAGAGUGUGUAGGCGGUGCUCUAAGUCUGUCGUGAAAUCUCCCGGCUUAACUGGGAGGGUGCGGCGGAUACUAUUGUGCUAGAGGGUGGGAGAGGUAAGCGGAAUUCCUGGUGUAGCGGUGAAAUGCGUAGAUAUCAGGAGGAACACCUGCGGUGUAGACAGCUUACUGGACCACUUCUGACGCUGAGACACGAAAGCGUGGGUAGCAAACAGGAUUAGAUACCCCAGUAGUCC